CGAGUGGCGGACGGGUGAGUAAUGUCUGGGAAACUGCCCGAUGGAGGGGGAUAACUACUGGAAACGGUAGCUAAUACCGCAUAACGUCGCAAGACCAAAGAGGGGGACCUUAGGGCCUCUUGCCAUCGGAUGUGCCCAGAUGGGAUUAGCUAGUAGGUGGGGUAAAGGCUCACCUAGGCGACGAUCCCUAGCUGGUCUGAGAGGAUGACCAGCCACACUGGAACUGAGACACGGUCCAG
rnacentral:rRNA from 1 species